rnacentral:rRNA from 1 species
UAGUCUACGCCGUAAACGAUGGAUACUAGUUGUUUGGUAUUUAUACUGAGUGACUAAGCGAAAGUGAUAAGUAUCCCACCUGGGGAGUACGUUCGCAAGAAUGAAACUCAAAGGAAUUGACGGGGGCCCGCACAAGCGGUGGAGCAUGUGGUUUAAUUCGAUGAUACGCGAGGAACCUUACCAGGGCUUAAAUGUAGUCUGACAGCUUUAGAGAUAGAGUUUUCUUCGGACAGAUUACAAGGUGCUGCAUGGUUGUCGUCAGCUCGUGCCGUGAGGUGUCAGGUUAAGUCCUAUAACGAGCGCAACCCCUGUUGUUAGUUGCCAGCGAGUAAAGUCGGGAACUCUAGCAAGACUGCCGGUGCAAACCGCGAGGAAGGUGGGGAUGACGUCAAAUCAUCACGGCCCUUACGUCCUGGGCCACACACCGUGCUACAAUGGUAGGUACAGAGAGCAGCCACUGCGCGGAGCAGGNGCGAAUCUAACUAAAACCUAUCUCUAGGUUACGAGUACGG